GACGACCGCUGGCGGCGUGCUUAACACAUGCAAGUCGAACGGAAAGGCCCUGCUUUUGUGGGGUGCUCGAGUGGCGAACGGGUGAGUAACACGUGAGUAACCUGCCCUUUACUUUGGGAUAACUUCAGGAAACUGGGGCUAAUACCGGAUAGGAGCUCCGGCUGCAUGGUGGGGGUUGGAAAGUUUCGGCGGUUGGGUAUAGACUCGCGGCUUAUCAGCUUGUUGGUGGGGUAGUGGCUUACCAACGCUUUGACGGGUAGCCGGCAUGAGAGGGUGACCGGCUACAUGGGGACGGAGAUAACGCACAGACUACUACGGGAGGAAGCAGUGGGGAAUAGUGAACAAUGGGCGGAAGCCUGACGCAGCAAAGCCGCGUGCGGGAUGACGGCAUUCGGGUUGCAAACCGCUUUCGACUGUGACGAAGAGUGAGUGACGGUAAUGGGUAAAGAAGCACCGGCUAACUACGUG
rnacentral:rRNA from 1 species